CCUACGGGCGGCAGCAGUGAGGAAUAUUGGUCAAUGGGCGGAAGCCUGAACCAGCCAAGUCGCGUGAGGGAAUAAGGCCCUACGGGUCGUAAACCUCUUUUGCCGGGGAGCAAGGUCGGGGACGUGUCCCGUCCCGGAGAGUACCCGGAGAAAAAGCAUCGGCUAACUCCGUGCCAGCAGCCGCGGUAAUACGGAGGAUGCGAGCGUUAUCCGGAUUUAUUGGGUUUAAAGGGUGCUUAGGCGGGCUUUUAAGUCAGCGGUAAAAAUUCGGGGCUCAACCCCGUCCGGCCGUUGAAACUGGGGGCCUUGAGUGGGCGAGAAGAAGGCGGAAUGCGUGGUGUAGCGGUGAAAUGCAUAGAUAUCACGCAGAACCCCGAUUGCGAAGGCAGCCUUCCGGAGCCCUACUGACGCUGAGGCACGAAAGUGCGGGGAUCGAACAGGAUUAGAUACCCCUGUAGUC
rnacentral:rRNA from 1 species